rnacentral:rRNA from 1 species
GAGUAAUGUCUGGGAAACUGCCUGAUGGAGGGGGAUAACUACUGGAAACGGUGGCUAAUACCGCAUAACGUCGCAAGACCAAAGAGGGGGACCUUCGGGCCUCUUGCCAUCAGAUGUGCCCAGAUGGGAUUAGCUUGUUGGUGAGGUAACGGCUCACCAAGGCGACGAUCCCUAGCUGGUCUGAGAGGAUGACCAGCCACACUGGAACUGAGACACGGCCCAGACUCCUACGGGAGGCAGCAGUGGGGAAUAUUGCACAAUGGGCGCAAGCCUGAUGCAGCCAUGCCGCGUGUAUGAAGAAGGCCUUCGGGUUGUAAAGUACUUUCAGCGGGGAGGAAGGUGUUGUGGUUAAUAACCGCAGCAAUUGACGUUACCCGCAGAAGAAGCACCGGCUAACUCCGUGCCAGCAGCCGCGGUAAUACGGAGGGUGCAAGCGUUAAUCGGAAUUACUGGGCGUAAAGCGCACGCAGGCGGUCUGUCAAGUCGGAUGUGAAAUCCCCGGGCUCAACCUGGGAACUGCAUUCGAAACUGGCAGGCUUGAGUCUUGUAGAGGGGGGUAGAAUUCCAGGUGUAGCGGUGAAAUGCGUAGAGAUCUGGAGGAAUACCGGUGGCGAAGGCGGCCCCCUGGACAAAGACUGACGCUCAGGUGCGAAAGCGUGGGGAGCAAACAGGAUUAGAUACCCUGGUAGUCCACGCCGUAAACGAUGUCUACUUGGAGGUUGUGCCCUUGAGGCGUGGCUUCCGGAGCUAACGCGUUAAGUAGACCGCCUGGGGAGUACGGCCGCAAGGUUAAAACUCAAAUGAAUUGACGGGGGCCCGCACAAGCGGUGGAGCAUGUGGUUUAAUUCGAUGCAACGCGAAGAACCUUACCUGGUCUUGACAUCCACAGAAGAAUCCAGAGAUGGAUUUGUGCCUUCGGGAACUGUGAGACAGGUGCUGCAUGGCUGUCGUCAGCUCGUGUUGUGAAAUGUUGGGUUAAGUCCCGCAACGAGCGCAACCCUUAUCCUUUGUUGCCAGCGGUUAGGCCGGGAACUCAAAGGAGACUGCCAGUGAUAAACUGGAGGAAGGUGGGGAUGACGUCAAGUCAUCAUGGCCCUUACGACCAGGGCUACACACGUGCUACAAUGGCGCAUACAAAGAGAAGCGACCUCGCGAGAGCAAGCGGACCUCAUAAAGUGCGUCGUAGUCCGGAUUGGAGUCUGCAACUCGACUCCAUGAAGUCGGAAUCGCUAGUAAUCGUGGAUCAGAAUGCCACGGUGAAUACGUUCCCGGGCCUUGUACACACCGCCCGUCACACCAUGGGAGUGGGUUGCAAAAGAAGUAGGUAGCUUAACCUUCGGGAGGGCGCUUACCACUUUGUGAUUCAUGACUGGGGUGAAGUCGUAACAAGGUAACCGUAGGGGAACCUGCGGUUGGAUCACCUCCUUACCUUAAAGAA